UUUUCUAAUCUUUCUUUCCUUCUUUUCUCUUUUUGUGGUGAUGAAGAUAUUUAUUUGAUUAUACUGAAUUUGGCAAUAUAGAGUAUUCUGAUUUCAAUUGCAUGGCCUCAUGCGACCACUUGUCAAAACAAAUUUUAUCCUGGUCUAUCCACGGUAGUGUAAUAAACUAUACAUUGCAUUAUUGGUUCAACUGUCAUUGCCACAAGAAAAAGCAGUUCUGUUAUUUCAUUCUUUUGAAAGGGAAAAUUGGCAGAAGAAGUCACUAUACUUUAUGGCAAUUGUUGAUGGUUUUCUAAAGUGAUGCUGUUGUUUAACUACUCAUUUGCUCACUAAGUUUUCACUCAAAAUUUCCCCCUUACGAGGACUUUGGUGGAAGACUAACUGAAACAAAGGCCAUCAUCCUCUAUGAUGGCCAGUUAAGUUUUACGUAUUAGUGAAGCUGCAAUCGACUUUGUGAUCUACUGUUAUGUUAAAUCUUCAUACUGUCUAAAGAAUUCCGCAGAAACUAUUCACUUUCUUAUUGGUGGAAGUGACCCUUGUGAGGAAGACGAGAAGGAAGAGAGAACACUGCUUGAUUAUUUCCUGAAGCUAUUGGAACUUAAAUACUACUUUUACAUGUUGUCCUAGAAAGGAAAGAAAAUCAAUAUACAAUUACAACAUAAUUACAAGGGAGUAAACUAAGCUAUAUACUAUAUUUGUGAUAUUCUAGAAUAUUCAUACAAAUCCUAAAACACCCCCUUAAGCUGGUGCUUACAGAUCAUAUGCACCAAGCUUGCUGCAUAUAUAACUUGUUCUUGUACCGGCAAGGGACUUGGUGAAUAUAUCUGCAAGUUGUUCAUUUGACCUUAUGAACUUUGAGACAAUUUCUCUUGAGAGUAUCUUUUGCCUGACGAAAUGACAAUCAAUUUCUAUGUGUUGGUGCUCUCAUGAAACACUGGAUUUGAUGCAAUGUUAAGUUCAGCCUCAUUAACAGACACAAGUUCCUUUUUACCAAUCUCUCCAAAUUUUAAUUCUUUUAGUAGUUACUUGAUCAACAAGGACCAAGCAGCGUGGAACCCUGUACUCGACAAAGUUGAGUCUUGAUUGGUAGGAUGACAAAAAGAUUAUUUUGUCCAAAGAAUGAACGAAAGGCUUAUUAAGAGCACAUUAUCAAGUAUACCCACUUACUCCAUGUCCUUGUUUCAGGCUAUGUUGCUUGGACUCUUCGAAAAUAUCGAUGGGUGCGUAUAGGAUACUCUAAAAGUGGGCCAUUUUUGGAGGAUCUGACACGGGUACGACAACUUUUUUGCGGAGUCCGAGCAACAUAGGUUUCAGGUACCCGUCAUUGUUGUAGAAAUGAUGGAAAACUUCAAAGAAAUUUCUUAUUGUACUUGACAGAUAAGGCGAGAAAUUUUCACUGUGUAAGGUGGGAGAUUGUUAGGACUCCCAAGUGUUGGGGUGGGCUUGGCGUUAAAAAAUUGAGUCUUUAAUAACACCUUUUAUGAAAAUGGCAAUGGAGAUUUGGGAUGGAGUAGCAUGCUUUUUAAAGAGGUAAUAGCAGAAAAGUAUGAGGUAUUGGAAGGGGCUUGGAGGACAAAGUGUUUUCUUGCUAUAUAAUUGUAGUUUGUGGAGGAAUGUCAUGAAGGGGUGGGAAGAUUUCAGCGAAUUGGUGAUUUUUCGGGUUGGGGAUGGGAAGAGGGUCAAUUCUUAGGACCACAGGUGGUGUGGGUACAAUACUUUGAGGUUUGCGUUUCAAAACAUUUACAGGAUUUCACGCUAAAAGGAGAUGAUAGUCCAAUAAAUCCGAAAAUUACAAGAUGAAGAGGGUUUUUGGGACUUGAGUUUUAUGAGAUACUUUGAAGAUUGGGAAAUGACAUAGUUCCGAACUCUUGGAUUUGCUUCACAAACAAGCAACUUUACACGAUAUCCAAGAUUUUUUGUGUGUGUGGGGGGGGGGGGGGGGGGUUGGUGUUUGGACAAUGGCGUAUUUUCUGUGAAAUCAUUUUAUGAGAAGCUUCUAGUUAGAGAAGAGGUGGUUUCCCUACAUAGAUCGAUAUGGAUUCCAAAUAUACCUAAGAAAGCGUGCUUUGUUUGGUUAGCAACUAGAGGGUUAUUUUGAUGGCUGAGAACUUGAGAAAGAGGAAGGUGACAUACAUUAGUUGGUGCUUGAUGUGCAAGGGGUCGGGCAAGGAUGUCGAUCAUCUCCUCCUACAUUGCUAGGUAGCCUCAAGGCUAUGACAAGUAAUAUUGAGUUUGUUUGGUAUCUCGUGGGCGAUGCCAAAAAUGAUGGAAGAUGUUUUGUUCAGUUGGAAUUGGGGUAGGCGGAGGAGUGGACGCAGGGUUUGGAAUGUUGCUUCAUUGGCACUUAUGUAUGUUCUUUGGAGAGAGAAAUAUAAGAGCUUUUGAGGGAUAGAGAUGAUCUUUUUACAAUUGAAAGUAGCCUCUUAUACCUUUUUUCUUUCUGGUGCACCCAUGAAGUUCCUCUUUGUAUAGAUGAUUGGGUGUUAUUCAUAGGAAACCACAUUUUUUCUUGUGAGUCUCUCCUUUUUGGCAUACCUCUAGUAUAUGCAGGUUUUUAAGCCCAAAUUUUAAUAUAAAAUUUAUUACCAUAUCAAAAAAAUGUAUUAUUCCCAUCGAAAUACCAAUUUUACUAUCUUUUCAUCUCAAAGCUUCUUUGGUUCAUAAGGUGCACUCCUCUUUGUAGCAUAUCAGUUUAUACUAAUGAGAAUCUAAGUUGCGGGGACUCGGGUGCGGGUAUUCGACACGGAUGCAGAUCCGAGGGUCGGAUUCAGUGUGGUGACCCUACUAUAAGAAUAAUAUAGAUGCGUGUAGCUGGGUUCGAAGUCGAGUAUGAGAAGAAUAAAGGGGUAACUAACUUUCAAAUGAGCGGCUCAGAUUAAUUCUCAAUUAAGGACCGAUAAGGGCCAGGAUAAAGCCACGUGGCCCAGGUUGUGCUAUACAGAAAGAGAGAGAGGAAGGCAACGGCUAUCUGAUCAUCAUCGGCUAUGGAGAUUAUUCUAUCCUUGUUUUAGCUUAGUUUAAUUCAGCUAGUUUUACUCUUGUAUUUGAAUUCCAUUUUCCAGUUAUAUAAUCAGAAAAUUGUCCCAAAAAAGUGUGGAUUCGAUUUCAAUUUUGCAAUUAAACUGAGAUCCAUAUCUGGAUCUUGACAUUCAGCAAAAUCUAAAUUUUUGAGAUUCGGGGGUACGGAUCCAGUUAUGGAUACGGGUGCUGGGAUUUGGCUAAAAAAAAUCAAAAUUAUAAAAACAGAAAGAUAUUCUAAAUUUGUGAGAUAUUCUGUGGAAACCUUACAUAUAGUAGAAUUCGCAUAGCUAGGGUUUCAGAAGGGGAAGAGAAGUCCUAAGGCAUGAAAUGUUGCACCAUUAGCAAUUAUGUGGGUUAUUUGGAGAGCGUUGAAGGGGCUGAACAAGAUGUUGUAAAGUUGCAAACUAGUCUUUUGUUUCUAGUUUCCUUUUGGUGUUCCCAUGAGAACCCGACUUGUAUAGAAGAUUGGGUCUCUUCUUUAAAGAUAUUUUGAUGUAGGUUCUCUCUUUUGGUAUACGGCUUGUUCCCCUAAUUGUUAAUAAAAUUAUUUACCUUAUAAAAAAAUGUUAUAUAACUCAAUCUUUCAUUCCCCAAGAUGGGCGUUAAAAAACAUAAAUUAAGUGUCAAGAAAUCAAUAUGCUAAUAAUUAAUUUAGAAGUUAUCCCUCUUUUCUAUGAGAAAGAAAACAAUUAUAAAUAGCAAACUUGAUCUAGAGGAAAAGCUAACAAGGAUUGAAGGUAUGCCAUUCCUUAUGUCUUAAAUCUGUUUUAUCUUUUAUUUUGAGAAAUCAAAAUCUCAAUUCCACCCCCCCCCCCC